GCAUGGUAUGCACGCCUUUAAUCCCAGAACUUGGGAGGGAGAGGCAGGGAGAUCUUAUGGGUUUAAGGUCAGCCUGGUCUAUAUCGUGAGUUCGAGGCUAGCCAGAGCUAUGAAGUUUUUGGAUGAAGUAGGGGAAAAAAGUGAAAGGAUAAACGUGUUGUAAAAAGAGACCAGUGCAUUCUAAAAACAAGGACAAGACCUCGACUCUCUUGUGUUCCACAAUGCCCAGUAGUUCGUGUUUACCAUAUCCCUGUCCUAUGUCACUCCAAUGUGGUCAUUUCCCAGCCUCCACUGCAGCAUUAGGGCGUCUUGUGGAACAUCUCCUCCUUACCCUAUGUUUCCAGAAGCAUCUCUCUGUUGUCUUUGUUUGGCAUGGACGAAAGAACUUUGGACAUUGUCUAACAUACUUUUCUGUCAUUGUAAGAAACCGCCAUGUCCAGAGCAAUUUAUGAAAGACAGAGUUUAAUUGGGGCGGUUACAGUUUCAGAGAGUGAGUACAAUCCAGGACCACCAUGGUUGGGAGCAUGGCAGCGGGCAGGCGUGGCAACUGGAGCAGUAGCUGAGAGCUCACAUGUUGAGACAACAACCACAAAGCACAGAGAAAGCUAACAAGGAAGGCAUGGGCUCUGAAACCUCAAAGCCCAACCCCCGUGACACACCUCCUCCAACAAGGCCACACCCCCUAGUCCUUCCUAAAUAGUAUCAAGCAUUCAAACACAUGAGCCUAUGAGGGCUGUUCUCAUUCAGACCACAAUAGGCACAGACCUGCAUCCAAGGGGCCCCCCACAUCUUGCUUUCCCCUCCUCUUUUGCUUUUUGUUAAUCCAGACAGGUUCAACUCUAUAUCUAAAGGAUUCUUAUCAACUCUGCAUUAAAAGCCCAGGGGGCUUCUACACCUAUCCCUUUUGAUCAUGCACACUACAGUGUGUUGGGGCAUGGGCCACUUCGUCUCUUCACAAGCCCCAGGGACUCCUCACUAAAUGGAAUGGCACAGUUCCAAUAUAUAAUAAUUAGUUAUGGCAGCAUGUUCUUUAUGGUUCUGGUUCUAACUUUUGCCCAAGGAAGUUCCAUCCACAGAAAGUCCAUCUUUUUUAGGCCAGUGGUACAGUCUUAAUCUGUAGAUCGCAGGAAGUAUACAGAAGGGCAUGCAGGUAUUGCAUGUCACAGUAAAGGCACUGUGUGCUGAAAACCACAAAGUAGUGAAGAGAAGACGUCCCAGGGACCAUAGUGUCAAUUUAGUCAAUAUCUAAAGAGCGAGUGAAAUGACAUUUAAUUAGGGCUGGCUUACAGUUUCGGAGGUUUAGUUCAUUAUCAUCAUGGUGGGAAGCAUGGCAGCAUGCAGGCAGACUUGGUGCUGGAGUAGCCAAAAGUUCUACAUCUUGAUCCAAAGGCAAUGAGAGGAGACUGUGUGCUACACCAGGUGUAGCUUGAGUAUAUAUAAGCCUCAAAGCCCUCCUCCACAGUGACAUACUUCCAACUAGGCCACACCUACACCCAUAAGGCCACAUCACAUAAUAGUGCCACUCCCAAUGGGCCAAGGAUUCAAACAUACAAGUCUGUGGGAGCCAUCCCUAUUCAAACCUCCACAGUGAACUUCAAAUUUGGCAAGAGACCCUGUCUCAAAUUCAAACAAUGAAGUGAAGAACAAGUGAGGAACACACUUGGCCUCUCCAGCCUACACAUAAACACACAUGAACAUGUACACACAUGCAACACACACACACACACAGAGAGAGAGAGAGAGAGAGAGAGAGAGAGAGAGAGAGAGAGAGAGAUUAAGAGGUGUCAGCUCAAGUUGUUUGACCUCACAGAAUUGUCUAAGAGUAGUCGACUUAUUGAUAAUCAGGGCUUGGUUCUCACCAUUCUUCCUUUCCCUUCAAAGAAGUAGAGAAACAAGUUGAAAUCAAGUGUGUAUACAAUAUGGAGAGACUUUCUUCCCAUGGCAUGAUUUUUUUUUAAGUUGUAUAAGUUUACAUAUGGCAUGGGAAGAAUUUUUUUUCCAAUAAUUGCUGAUGCCAAAUAAAAUAUCAGCUCUCUCCUACCUGACGUAAGUUCAGCCAUAUCCCUGGCCCUCGUUGGAAACAGGGAGCUGUGUGCUUGCCCCUGCCCUGUAGCCGCCAACUGAGUCAUGCUUGGCUUGUUUCCCUGAGUAAGCCCUGGCUCCCAUGGUCCCUAGAUGGACUGUCUACAUGCGAUCACUCUCCUGCCUUCCGAUCAUUCUGAGCGCUUUCCUUGCUAAUGCUCUUGUUGAAAGUGCAUUUAAAUUCAGUUGGAAGAGCAUGCUGGAGCAGGACCAUUUCAUGGGUUAACAUGAAAGGUUGAAUUGCACCAAUGUGCUGGCUAGAGCCUGGGUUCUUUAAAAUCAGGCCUGCGGACGUCAGCCGUGGCUGUUGAUACUGUAUGUCUGGUCGUAUCGUCAAUGGAUUUUCUUAGUGCUUGCUCGCUGACCUGAGCCCAUUUCAUGCCAACUCCGACUCUGCUGGAGAUCUCAAGCAGACAAAUGAGGCCCCUUUGUUGACAUUUCUUUAUUGAUGUUAUCCCUGCAGCUAGAAUGAGCACACAAACAGGAUUCCCAUUGGCUGGGUUGAUUUCAAAAUAGCUUCUCCUAGCUAGGGGUGGGUAGUCUUAGCUCUGAGGAGUCUGAAGCAGGAGGAUUGUUAGUUUAAGGCUAACCUGGGCUACCUAGUGAGACAUUUUCUCAAAACAAUAAAUAGCAGC
rnacentral:lncRNA from 1 species